rnacentral:rRNA from 1 species
GACGAACGCUGGCGGCGUGCCUAAUACAUGCAAGUCGAGCGCAGGAAAUCAUCCGAACCCUUCGGGGGGACGUUGAUGGAAUGAGCGGCGGACGGGUGAGUAACACGUAAAGAACCUGCCCUCAGGUCUGGGAUAACCACGAGAAAUCGGGGCUAAUACCGGAUGGGUCAUCGGACCGCAUGGUCCGAGGAUGAAAGGCGCUUCGGCGUCGCCUGGGGAUGGCUUUGCGGUGCAUUAGCUAGUUGGUGGGGUAAUGGCCCACCAAGGCGACGAUGCAAAGCCGACCUGAGAGGGUGAUCGGGCACGCGGGGACUGAGACACGGCCCAGACGCCUACGGGAGGCAGCAGUAGGGAAUCUUCCACAAUGGACGAAAGUCUGAUGGAGCAACGCCGCGUGAACGAUGAAGGCCUUCGGGUCGUAAAGUUCUGUUGUAAGGGAAGAACAAGUGCCGCAGGCAAUGGCGGCACCUUGACGGUACCUUGCGAGAAAGCCACGGCUAACUACGUGCCAGCAGCCGCCGUAAAAC